CAGUCGCCACGGUAAGACAGAGGAUGCAAGCGUUAUCCGGAAUGAUUGGGCGUAAAGCGAGCGCAGGCGGUUAGAUAAGUCUGAAGUUAAAGGCUGUGGCUUAACCAUAGUACGCUUUGGAAACUGUUUAACUUGAGUGCAAGAGGGGAGAGUGGAAUUCCAUGUGUAGCGGUGAAAUGCGUAGAUAUAUGGAGGAACACCGGUGGCGAAAGCGGCUCUCUGGCUUGUAACUGACGCUGAGGAGCGAAAGCGUGGGGAGCGAACAGGAUUAGAUACCCCCGUAGUCCCUGUCUCUUAUACA
rnacentral:rRNA from 1 species